AGUGAACGCUGGCGGUAGGCCUAACACAUGCAAGUCGAACGGCAGCACAGAGGAGCUUGCUCCUUGGGUGGCGAGUGGCGGACGGUUGAGGAAUACAUCGGAAUCUACUCUGUCGUGGGGGAUAACGUAGGGAAACUUACGCUAAUACCGCAUACGACCUACGGGUGAAAGCAGGGGACCUUCGGGCCUUGCGCGAUUGAAUGAGCCGAUGUCGGAUUAGCUAGUUGGCGGGGUAAAGGCCCAGCAAGGCGACGAUCCGUAGAUGGUCUGAGGGGAUGAUCAGCCACACUGGAACUGAGACACGGUCCAGACUCCUACGGGAGGCAGCAGUGGGGAAUAUUGGACAAUGGGCGCAAGCCUGAUCCAGCCAUACCGCGUGGGUGAAGAAGGCCUUCGGGUUGUAAAGCCCUUUUGUUGGGAAAGAAAUCCAGCUGGCUAAUACCCGGUUGGGAUGACGGUACCCAAAGAAUAAGCACCGGCUAACUUCGUGCCAGCCGCCGCUGUAA
rnacentral:rRNA from 1 species